CUGAGGAGAGGUUAGUUAUGCUGAAGCUCCGUCUAAAAAGUUUGAUAUGAGUUUUGUUUAUUGUAAUAAAACAUGUAAUUUUGUUCUUAAAUUCACUUUAAUCUUACUCAAACAUGUAUGAAGUUUGUGUGAAUGAUAUGGAGCAUGUAUUUUUGGAGAGAGUUCAUUAAGCAUGAGUGUGCAAGCUCUGUGGCUAAAAUAAUGCUUUUCACGGACAGGCUGGUGUUCCAGUUGUGAGAGAAGGCCACAGAUUCGAGUUUAUUUUGAUUAAUUUGUUUCUUUAUUCAUGCAGGUACAGAAUUGCAGUUUUCAACGUGGCUGGGGAAGAGAAAAGGAAAAAAGGCAGAUGGGGAGAGAGAAGGAGAUCUCUCCAUUUCCAAACUAACCAGGCAAACCUGUCCAUUUGGUAUUCAGAUUCCAUGCUGGCUGAACUCUGAUGUGAUAUCACACCAAGGGAGGCCAGGCUCUGCUGAACUCCUCUCAUCAUUCACAACCUUCGCUGGCCCAGCACUCUCAGGCAUCCCACUGACAGGAGCAACAACAGCUAAUGAGCUACAGGCAUUAUUAACAUGUGUGUUUUGGGCUCUUAAUUACUCCAGCUCUAACGUCUGUACACAAUUUAUAACGAGCCCAGCGCAGGCCCCUGUAGGCACUUACCUUGGUGAGAUUUCUUCUAAAUUGGACGAUUAUUCAAGCAGGCGGGCAGACAUGACAAACAAUAAUUGCCGCUUGCAGAUUUAACUUAUUAGUGUGAUGUAUUGAUCCAGGAAGCUGUAGAGAGAAGGAGAGAGGUAUUGGGGUGGGAAGUUUAGAUGGGGUCUUUUGGAGUUGGGUUCAAUUCCACCUGUACUGUGCUUGCUGUGGUAAUCUUGUUUCAGAAAGGUCACAUUUGCUGCCAUGAGCCAUCUCCACUGCUUUCAUCUUAUAACCCAUAUAGAGAGGACUAUUUACAAACCUCCUUUUGAUGAUCAAAACACUGAGGAUAAGAUCUGAGACAGGAUGAGAGAUCAGGAAAGGAGAGAGGUUAGGAAUAGGGAGAGACUGAUAAUUGCACAAGAAGAGUGUGUGUGCUACGUUUACAGUAUAUGUGGCAUAACAGGCUGUUUAUUUAUUUUUGUGUCAUUCUUUUUAAAUUACAAAUUAAAGUCUGAGUAAAGGGGCAUUCACAUAUAAAAAAAUCUGCAGCAACAAAAAGACCAGAAGUAAUCAAUUUUGAAUGAGAGUUGCUGAUUUCCGGCAACAUGAGCGACAGCCAACAUUGGGUAUUUGUUGUGUCCAGCGAUACAACAAGAUGAGAAAAAGGUUAUGCAAAUAAGCAGUGAUGCAAUGUGAUGAAUACCAAUGGGAGUAAAGACACCAGAGCACAUGCAAUUAGAUACUGCAGUCGAGUGUGGAAAAGAUGGAGAAGUCAGUGUUACUGUGAAUGAUGUCACUGCUCUAUAUGAUUUGUCUCUGCCCACAUGCAGGAAUAUAAUAAAAUAUUUUGUAGUGCUUCUAUGGAAAAUUUGGCUCAUGUUAACUUGCAUGCUCUUCGGGAUUUGUACCACUGCCCUUUUCAAAUCAAGUGCAAAUCUCUUUCAGUUGAGCUACAGCGAAAUUUGAUUGUGCCCAAUUAAGAUUAUAAAUGUUGUUAGUUAUGCAAACGUUAAAAUGUAUCGUGUGCUAUAGUAAAAGUGUUUUGAUGUCAUAAGAUAACAUGGUGUGAGGAACAUGGCGAAAAGUGUUCAUGAAUUGAUAAUCUGCGAUUUUCUUUGUGAUGUGUGAAAGGGAAUAAAAGUAUUUGUUGUUGUAGUGCCUCUAGAGUUAAUUUCACUAGGAACAGCCAUAAUGCAUCAUCAAGCCAUGCAAAACCUAAUAAGACUUGUAUCAGCAACACAUACCACUCGUGAUCAGAUUGUCGAUAGGGAA